rnacentral:rRNA from 1 species
UGGGGAAUUUUGGACAAUGGGCGAAAGCCUGAUCCAGCAAUGCCGCGUGUGUGAAGAAGGCCUUCGGGUUGUAAAGCACUUUUGUCCGGAAAGAAAUCCUUGGCUCUAAUACAGUCGGGGGAUGACGGUACCGGAAGAAUAAGCACCGGCUAACUACGUGCCAGCAGCCGCGGUAAUACGUAGGGUGCAAGCGUUAAUCGGAAUUACUGGGCGUAAAGCGUGCGCAGGCGGUUUGCUAAGACCGAUGUGAAAUCCCCGGGCUCAACCUGGGAACUGCAUUGGUGACUGGCAGGCUAGAGUAUGGCAGAGGGGGGUAGAAUUCCACGUGUAGCAGUGAAAUGCGUAGAGAUGUGGAGGAAUACCGAUGGCGAAGGCAGCCCCCUGGGCAAUACUGACGCUCAUGCACGAAAGCGUGGGGAGCAAACAGGAUUAGAUACCCUGGUAGUCCACGCCCUAAACGAUGUCAACUAGUUGUUGGGGAUUCAUUUCCUUAGUAACGUAGCUAACGCGUGAAGUUGACCGCCUGGGGAGUACGGUCGCAAGAUUAAAACUCAAAGGAAUUGACGGGGUCAUAGCU